UACGUAGGAGGCAAGCGUUGUCCGGAAUUACUGGGCGUAAAGCGCGUGUAGGUGGUGGGACAAGUCUGCUGUGAAAGCGCCUGGCUUAACCGGGCGAGGUCGGCGGAAACUGUCCGACUCGAGGACGGUAGAGGGGGGUGGAAUUCCCGGUGUAGUGGUGAAAUACGUAGAUAUCUGGAGGAACACCGGUGGCGAAGGCGGCGAUCUGGCCCAACAUUGACACUGAGACUCGAAAGUGCAGGGAUCAA
rnacentral:rRNA from 1 species